AUGAUUACUAUAUCCGAACAGACUCAUACCAGGACUACUUGGGUAAAUCUCAUCAAUAUCGUGAGCUACGGGCUGAAGGUUAUAGUCGUCAACAUUUGUCCCCUCCAUCUGAUCUGCAACAACUUCAGUACUCACAAUCUCAUUAUGCGCAAGGGAUGGUGCUUCACAUGUAUAGCAAGUUUUAUAGACGAACAUAUACCUGCAGAUAAGUACAAAUUGCUAAUGGCCGCUGAAGAUGACAAACACCUGUUGUGUGUUGCUAUUCCACAGAUCGUGCCAAGGUACUUGAAGAUAGCUAAUGGUUUAUUAGGUCCAUUACUAAAGCUUGUAUUUGUAUUUGUAUCUUCUAUAGUUGUAUGCAUGAUAACCGUACACAAACAGUUUGUAAUGACGCGUGAUGCAUGA
rnacentral:rRNA from 1 species